AGAGCAUCUCAAUUUAUGCAGGCAGUUUCAAAGGGUUCUAACUGACCCUCAUACAUUUCCUGUCUGGAGAACUCUGGAAGAAAUAAGAUGAGUUUCAGAGGUCUCCAGAUCAAGGCCUGAGUACUUGACCGAGAAUGUACUACCUCUGAACUUGGAACCGGGAGACAGUCACCGAACGGGAGAAUGCACCAUGGGGAAUAUACUUUGAUGCACAUGGCAGUGAUAGCGACAGCAGCAGCAUCAAAGAGUUUCCAGGGGCAGCAGUGGAAGUUUCCAGGGUCAAGCAACAAUAUAUGGCAGAUUUGCAAGCUGAAUGCAGGGUUUAGCAGCAGCAGUGUGCACGCCAUGCUGAUUUUGUGGGCAUGAUUUUUUGCCCAUGGUCCUCAUUGUUGUAAAACUCCCUAAUCCCCACCUAUUAUCCAGGCCAGGUUCAGCCACCUUUCUGGCAAUUCUUUCAAUAAAUUCAUUGUCUUCUUAA